UAAAAAUUAAAUUAUACACUUAUCUGUUGCUGCAAUAAUGAAAAGCCUCUUAAAAGUUAAAUAAAAUUAAAAUAUAAAAUACAGGAAGAUUAUUCCUUAAAACAGUAUUAUCACUACUAAGGAUUUGUUUAACUUUGUGAUCAAUAUUUAAUUUUAAAACUUUUAAGAGUAAAAUGCGGUUAACCAUGAUAAAAGCAGUUGUGCCAUUUUAAGAGAAUUUUAGAGUCAGUUUCCAAGCUUAAUUUUUUUUUAUUGGCCUGCAUUCUCAGUGAGCUGAGGUUCCAUGGCAACCAGAUACUUGGACUAGAAUGGAGAUCCUGAACUGCAAAAUUUAUCCAUGAUUCCACCUGUCAGGCUGAUUGGCCCUUGGAAGGUGGGAAAUUGGACCAUCAAAGCAGGAACCAACCCUGAGAAUGGUGCAUGUUAAGCUGGAAGGAGCCAGGAUCCCUGAAGAUUUUGAGAGAAUUACCACACCAGCUCUGAUCUGGAUGCAUUGAGUUGUUAAAGGAAAGAAAUUCACACUUUUGCCUUUCUCACCAUCCCUCAGAUCUAACACUUCCAAUUUAAAAAUUGCUCAACAUAUACACAUGAACGCAUGUCAAGAGUACAAGAUUU
rnacentral:lncRNA from 1 species